rnacentral:rRNA from 1 species
AGAGUUUGAUUAUGGCUCAGGAUGAACGCUAGCGACAGGCUUAACACAUGCAAGUCGAGGGGCAGCAUAGAAGUAGCAAUACUUGGUGGCGACCGGCGCACGGGUGAGUAACGCGUAUGCAACCUACCUAUCAGAGGGGAAUAACCCGGCGAAAGUCGGACUAAUACCGCAUAAAACAGGGGCACCGCAUGGUGAUAUUUGUUAAAGAAAUUCGCUGAUAGAUGGGCAUGCGUUCCAUUAGGUAGUUGGUGAGGUAACGGCUCACCAAGCCGACGAUGGAUAGGGGAACUGAGAGGUUGGUCCCCCACACUGGUACUGAGACACGGACCAGACUCCUACGGGAGGCAGCAGUGAGGAAUAUUGGUCAAUGGGCGGGAGCCUGAACCAGCCAAGUCGCGUGAAGGAAGAAGGAUCUAUGGUUCGUAAACUUCUUUUGCAGGGGAAUAAAGUGCAGGACGUGUCCUGUUUUGUAUGUACCCUGAGAAUAAGGAUCGGCUAACUCCGUGCCAGCCGCCGC